UUAAAGGGCCGUGGUAUACUGACCAUGCGAAGGUAGCAUAAUCAUUAGCCUUUUGAUUUGAGGCUGGAAUGAAUGGUCUGACGAGAGGCAACCUGUCUCCUUAAUUAACUUGAAUUUAAUCUUUAAGUGAAAAAGCUUAAAUAGCCUUGGAGGACGAUAAGACCCUAUAGAUCUUUACAUCCGGCUUUUUCAUCUAACGGUGGGUAAUCGGGUGGAAGAGGAGGAUGUUUGGUUGGGGCGACGUCGAGAGAAGAAUAAACACUCGAGAAUACACAUACAUCAAUAAAUGAUCAUUGAUCCUUAGAUGAAAAUAGAGUAAGUUACCUUAGGGAUAACAGCGUAAUUCUUUUUGAGAGCUCAAAUCGACAAAAGAGUUUGCGACCUCGAUGUUGGUUCAGGGACCCUAUUUGGUGCAGCAGCUUAAUCAGGUAGUC
rnacentral:rRNA from 1 species